CUCGUACGAUCACCGAAAUUAAGCAACGUCGAGCCUGAUCAGUACUUAGAUGAGUGACCACUUGGGAAUACCAUAGCAGGUGCUG